rnacentral:rRNA from 1 species
UACGUAGGGUGCGAGCGUUAAUCGGAAUUACUGGGCGUAAAGUGUGCGCAGGCGGCCAUGCAAGUCGAGUGUGAAAGCCCCGGGCUUAACUUGGGAAUUGCGCUCGAAACUACGUGGCUGGAGUGUGGCAGAGGAAGGUGGAUUCCACGUGUAGCGGAUGAAAUGCGUAGAGGAUGUGGAGGAACACCAAUGGCGAAGGCAG